AGGGUUUGAUCCUGGCUCAGAGCGAACGCUGGCGGCGUGGAUUAGGCAUGCAUGUCGAGCGAGAAACCGGGCAACCGGGAGUAAAGCGGCACACGGGUGAGGAAUGCGUGGAUAACUUGCCUCCGAGGCUGGGAUAACGGUGGGAAACCGCCGCUAAUACCGGAUGGUCCAGGAUCGUGGCAUCACGAACUUGGUAAAGGUGGGGACCGAAAGGCCUGCCGCUCGGAGAGAGGUUCACGCCCUAUCAGCUAGUUGGUGAGGUAAAGGCUCACCAAGGCUACGACGGGUAGGCGAGCUGAGAGGCUGACCGCCCACACUGGGACUGAGACACUGCCCAGACUCCUACGGGAGGCUGCAGUCGAGAAUCUUCCGCAAUGGACGCAAGUCUGACGGAGCGACGCCGCGUGCGGGAUGAGGGUCUUUGGAUUGUAAACCGCUGUCACGCGUUAAGAACUCGCAGGACCCAACACGUCCUGCGUUGACGAAGGCGCGAGAGGAAGCCACGGCUAACUCUGUGCCAGCAGCCGCGGUAAUACAGAGGUGGCAAGCGUUGCUCGGUGUUACUGGGCUUAAAGGGUGCUAGGCUGCGCAGUACGGCUCGGGUGAAAUCCCUCGGCCCAACCGAGGAACAGCCCGGGCGACGGCUGUGCUAGGCAGCAUCAGGGGAAGAUGGAACUCCCGGUGGAGCGGUGAAAUGCGUAGAUAUCGGGAGGAACGCCGAUGGCGAAAGCAAUCUUCUGGGGUGCAUGCGACGCUGAGGCACGAAAGCUAGGGGAGCAAACGGGAUUAGAUACCCCGGUAGUCCUAGCCCUAAACGAUGCGCACUAGAUAGCGGCCGGUUCCGACCGGCCGCUGUCGGAGCGAAAGCAUUAAGUGCGCCGCCUGGGAAGUACGGCCGCAAGGCUAGAACUCAAAGGAAUUGACGGGGCUCACACAAGCGGUGGAGGAUGUUGCUCAAUUCGAAGCAACGCGAAGAACCUUACCAGGACUUGACAUGCUCGUAGUAGAAGCCGGAAACGGUGACGACUUCCCGCAAGGGAGGAGCGAGCACAGGUGUUGCAUGGCUGUCGCCAGCUCGUGCCGUGAGGUGUCGGGUUAAGUCCCAUAACGAGCGAAACCCCUGCUGUCAGUUGCGACCGUGAAAGACGAGCACUCUGGCGGGACUGCCGGUGUCAAACCGGAGGAAGGUGGGGAUGACGUCAAGUCAUCAUGGCCCUUACGUCCUGGGCUGCAAACGUCCUACAAUGGCCGUUACAGAGGGAAGCCAACCCGCGAGGGGGAGCCAAUCUCAGAAAGACGGCCUCAGUUCGGAUUGUAGGCUGCAAUUCGCCUACAUGAAGCUGGAAUCGCUAGUAAUCGCGGAUCAGCUAUGCCGCGGUGAAUGUGUUCCUGAGCCUUGUACACACCGCCCGUCAACCCACGGAAAUCGGGAGUACCUUAAGUCGCCGACCGAACCGCAAGGGCGGAGGCGCCCAAGGUAAGACCGAUAACUGGGACUAAGUCGUAACAAGGUA
rnacentral:rRNA from 1 species